GAGGGUGUAGCUCAGUUGUAGAGUUCAUGUUUAGCAUGUAUGAGGCCUUGGGUUUGAUCCCCAGCACUAACA
rnacentral:tRNA from 1 species